ACAUGCAAGUCGAACGGUAACAGGCUUUUCGGAGUGCUGACGAGUGGCGCACGGGUGAGUAACGCGUGGAUAUCUGCCUAUGAGUGGGGGACAACUUUCGGAAACGGAAGCUAAUACCGCAUAUACUUUACGGAGUAAAGCAGGGGACCUUCGGGCCUUGUGCUCAUAGAUGAGUCCGCGUCAGAUUAGCUAGUUGGUAGGGUAAGAGCCUACCAAGGCGAUGAUCUGUAACUGGUUUGAGAGGAUGAUCAGUCACACUGGAACUGAGACACGGUCCAGACUCCUACGGGAGGCAGCAGUGGGGAAUUUUGCACAAUGGGCGCAAGCCUGAUGCAGCGAUGCCGCGUGUGGGAAGAAGGCUUUAGGGUUGUAAACCACUUUCAAUUGGGAAGAAGAGAUGAGGCUUAAUACGCUUCUGAUUUGACGGUACCUUUAGAAGAAGCACCGGCUAAUUUCGUGCCAGCAGCCGCGGUAAUACGAAAGGUGCAAGCGUUGUUCGGAUUUACUGGGCGUAAAGAGAUCGUAGGUGGUUUGUUAAGUUGGAUGUGAAAUCCCGGGGCUCAACCUCGGAACUGCAUCCAAAACUGACGGACUUGAGUUUGGGAGGGGUAAGCGGAAUUCCGUGUGUAGCAGUGAAAUGCGUAGAUAUACGGAGGAACACCUGAGGCGAAGGCGGCUUACUGGACCAAUACUGACACUGAGGAUCGAAAGCGUGGGUAGCAAACAGGAUUAGAUACCCUGGUAGUCCACGCCCUAAACGAUGUCAACUAGCCGUUGCGGGUAUCGACCCCUGCAGUGGCGCAGCUAACGCGAUAAGUUGACCGCCUGGGGAGUAC
rnacentral:rRNA from 1 species